rnacentral:rRNA from 1 species
UAUUGGACAAUGGGCGCAAGCCUGAUCCAGCCAUGCCGCGUGCAGGAUGACGGUCCUAUGGAUUGUAAACUGCUUUUGUACAGGAAGAAACACCUCUACGUGUAGAGACUUGACGGUACUGUAAGAAUAAGGAUCGGCUAACUCCGUGCCAGCAGCCGCGGUAAUACGGAGGAUCCAAGCGUUAUCCGGAAUCAUUGGGUUUAAAGGGUCCGUAGGCGGUCUUAUAAGUCAGUGGUGAAAUCUCCCCGCUCAACGGGGAAACGGCCAUUGAUACUGUAAGACUUGAAUUAUUAGGAAGUAACUAGAAUAUGUAGUGUAGCGGUGAAAUGCUUAGAGAUUACAUGGAAUACCAAUUGCGAAGGCAGGUUACUAAUAAUGGAUUGACGCUGAGGACGAAA